AAGGAUUUAAGUUAAGAAAACUAUUAGCCUUCAAAGCUAAAAAUAGGGGAUCUCUAAGCCUUA
rnacentral:tRNA from 1 species